GCCAUCGGUGGGCAUUGGUGGGCUCGAGCGCAGCCGUGCCAGGCCGUGCGCCGUGUUGUAGGCGACGCGCCAGUCGUCCAGCGUUUCGACGACUUCGGGCAGAAGGCGUAUGGGGCAGCGAGCAUGACAGCUACUCGGGGAAUGACUCCAGCGUCGUGGUCUCUGCAGAGUGUGAUCCUGAUCGUCGCACUUUUGUCAUGGCAAAGCGCAAGCGCGGAUCUGGACACAGCUGCCAUGAGCCAGAGCCUGGAGCCCCGGCUGGUGUACCCAUUCCGGCGGUACGGAGAUGUGACGCUGCUGCCGUUCGUCAUCCCGCAGGGCACACACUCGGCCACCUGGACAUUCAAGGCCAACAUCAGCAGCCACUGCAGGCCGGACAUUGUCCACCUGUACCUGCAGUUUGGAGGGCUGCCCGUGUUGAGCCCUCUGAAUGCUUCUUUUCCGGACGACUUUGUUACCAAGCGACAGCGGCUGCGCAGCCUCCAUUUCCCUUCUGAUUCAGAGCUGCGCUUUAUCAACGUCAGCUCACCUGACCCCGGCCAGUGGUUUGCGGCAGCAUUCACGCUAGAUCAUCAUGAACGGAUUUUGCAGAAGGGCCUGUUUGCACCCUGUGAAGUGUACCUUUCAAGCUCGCUGACCCCAUACCUGCUGGAAGAGGUUGUUGACCUCCUGCCCGUCCAGGCCACUACACACCGCAUCGACAAGCCAACCUACUUCAGGUUUGCAACGUCGCGGGAGAUGUGGAGCCUGGACUUCACCCUAUCCGAGUGCAAAUUUGCAGGCAACGGCACUGCCGACUUAUGCCCGGUGAUUAUUCGUGCCACUGCCGAGGUUCCGCCCAUGCCUGAAAAUGACGGAGUUGACAUUGAGGUGUUGCGACGGACUACCACGGUUGACUGUUUAGAGAACGGAACUUGCAGCGGCACCAUGAUUCCAGCUGUGGACGCAUGGAACUACAUUCUAGUCCAGCCGACUAUAGACGAUGCUGUGGAGUUCAAAAUCCUUCUUUCCCCAUAUGACUGCAGGACAGCGCACGUGAGCCCCGCCGCCAAGAGCAGGAGGAAGGAAAACCUGGAAAUGCUGGAGAAGAUGCUCAGCGCCAAUGCAACCACACUCAGGACGGUUCUCCAGGAAUAUCUACGAGUGCCGAAAUUUUCUGAUUCCUGCUGGCCGUCGCACGAGCUUGCGCAUGUCAACAUGCCCGGGACAUUCGAGUACGGCUACCGAUUGGAUCCUGGCCCGGACGAGUCCAAUUUCACGUCUGGCUUUAACGUGAGCCUGCAUGAGCCAACGCUCAUCACAUUCCGAGUGUUUCCAGUCUUAGACUCUGGUGGAACGCUGUCGAUUAAUUUGCAUCUCAUCAGCCCAGGAAAGGACGAGCACACGCCAACCAACGUGAGCCUGCGAGCAGUGUUGGCAUAUGGGUCGCGACCUCUGCUCAAGGAGGACCAAAAGUCAUGGGAGUGGGGCAAUGAGUUCCAAGUGAACACCAGCAGUGAUGACCACUCCAGGGCAGAGCUGCACGUUCCAUUUCCAGAGUUUGGGCUCUGGUUCCUGGGCCUGUUGCCACUAUGCUAUCUCGAUGACAGUGGCAAUUCCAGUGAGCCAAACUGGGUUCCUUGCGAGAUGGAAUUGAUGCAAGUGGAACUCACCAUCAACUCCACAGCCUGCCUGAACAACAAGUGCGGUCUCUUUGGUCGCUGCUUUCAGUACAUCAGUGGAGGGAUGAUCUUCAGCAGCUGCUACUGCACAUCUGGCUACCGUGGCUGGGGGUGUACUGACGACCGGGAAGCCCGCCACUACUCGCACAUGUUGACCGAACUGCUGCUGCUGACACUCAGCAACCUGUUCUUCGUGCCUGCCGUGGCGCUGGCCUUCUACCGACGCCACUUCCUCGAGGGCCUGGUCUACCUCACCACCAUGUGUGCCUCUGCGUUAUACCAUGCCUGCGACGCGGACCUGUCACCCAUCUGCGUGCUGAGGCCAAGCGUGCUGCAGUAUUGUGACUUCCUCACAGCUGUGGUGUCGCUCUGGGUCACAUUGCUCUGCCUGGCUGAGGUCUCAAUGCCACUGCGCACCCUGGUGUCGACGUUUGGCACCCUGUGCAUCGCCAUCGCUGUUGAGAAUGAUCGCACAGGAUUCCUUGUCAUUGCUUUGCCGGCUGGCCUGGGCUUGACACUUGUGUUUGGCUCCUGGGUUAGGCAGUGUGCCACCCGAAGGAGCUGCUUCCCGCAUCCGCGCUUCUGGCUGAUAAGCCUGGCACCUGCUGCUGCACUGGGCGUUGUAGGUGCGGCGCUGUAUCUGGGAUUUGAGACACGCCGCAAUUACGCCUACGUGCAUAGUGCAUGGCACGCUCUGGUCGGCCUCUCGCUCUUCCUCGUCCUGCCCCCAAAGCGGCGGUGUCAAUUAGGUGUUGAGAAGAAAGAAUCCGUGAACACUUGCAGCUACGUUAGGGUGGAGGAACUGAGUGACAUGAUGCCAACACCAGAGCUGCCGUCAGCACAUGCACCCUUGGUGAUAUCAAGAGGCACAUGAUGAGUGGAAGAUCGUCAGUCUUUCACGGCGAAUUCAGCAGCUGCCUGGCUGCCUUGAGGACUUGUGUUCUGAAGUGAGAUUCAUAUGCAUCGCCGCAGUGCCAAUGGACAUCUAAGGCUGGCUGCAACAAUGUUGAGGCAGGACCUCGGUGUAACUUACCAUCAGCGUAAAUUGGAAUGCGAACAGGCUAAAGUAUUCUAGAGCAGGUUUCGUGCAUGAUAACAUGAAUGAGCACUGUUGUAUUUCUGUAGGUGCAUUUGCUAAAUGUUGAUUCCCUUAGCAAUGCAUUCGGAGAACAGGUGACGUCAUUAUUCUGUGUGCAGGUGAACGUAGACAUUAGAGUGCAUGUUCUAGUCUGUCCUGAUUUGCUCGCAUUUGAAGUUACGUUGAUAGUACAUGUUGGUGAGAAGAUUGUGUCAUUUGCCUGCUUACUGAAGCAUGACUGUGAAAUCAGUUAGUACACCUAAGCCAAGUUUAUGAGGAGACAAAGAGUUGUGAAGUGCUAAAGUGGUUUUAUUUUCAGUAUGUGCAUAGCCAGUGGGUUGUGUUGUGUUAGCUCGAAAUGAUAUCGACAUAUUCAUGGUAUAUUACAUGUUAUGAAAAACAUUGUUCCACAUUGCUUGUUUACUGGGGCAUGACCCCGAUAUGGGUUUGUAUACUUAAGCCAUGUUUAUGAGACAUCAUUUAGUUGUUAAGUGCUAAUGUGGUUCUAUUUGUGGCGCAUGUAUAGCUAGUGAGUUCACUGUUGUGUUUGCUCUAUAUGAGAUCAUCAACAUAGUCUGUCUGAUUGCUCAUUAGUUUUAUAAAGUGCUCGAGUAACAGCUAAGUAAUUCAUUUGCAGAUGCAUGUAGGCGAUGUAAUGUUUGCUCCAGCACAGUUGCUGGGCUUUUGCAGUGUGAUAUACAGUGUUACGCACCCAUCAGUUCCAGUCAUACUUGCCUAAUUUUGUUUUAUUCUCGAAGAAGUGAACACUUAUCUGUUUUAUAAGCUGUAGCUAAUUCUAGGAUGUCAAAUGCCUCGUUGUGUUCACCCAUUGUACACUAAAUUCAGCACAGGGUAGAAUCAUUUGUAGGACCAUGGUUCUUUAAAGUGGAUUCCAAACAAGGGAGGUUCACAGGAAGAUGGAGACUUGAAGUGAUCAACUGUGGUCGAACAAAGAUUGUUGCUGGAGACUUCAAUCCAUUCUAAAGUAAUUAGCUGUGGUCGAACAAAGAAUGUCGCUGGGUUCAAUUGUAUAGCUUAAAUACAAUAUGGGAGGUAAUCACUAAAAAAGGCUUCUACAUGACUUGCUCGUACUACAGAGAGCAGUGAAUGCAUGAAGCUAGCAUCAACCAAUGAGCAGUCAGUGAGAGCUUUGCGCAGCUUUCUUCUUGUAUAAUAGAUGGGAUGCCUCUGUGAUGACAGAAAUUUUGAUGAGCAUACAGGUUGUGCAAAGGGCGGUGCUAAUAGGUAUGUUACCGGUGACAAGAUAGCCUUCCUUGGAGGCAAUGAUGCUUUUAGUGAAAAUCAGAAAACUAGGGAAGGCACGCUGGUGCUUUGAUUCUUGUUUAUUUGUGGUGAAGACCGGUGGGACAUUAACCAUAAGUUACGGUGAACCUUUUGUGUUGGUGACUGUGAUGAUGGCAGUGCUGCUAGUCUAAGUUGCA
rnacentral:misc_RNA from 1 species